rnacentral:rRNA from 1 species
UACAGAGGGUGCAAGCGUUACUCGGAAUUACUGGGCGUAAAGCGUGCGUAGACGGUUAUGUAAGUCAGGUGUGAAAGCCCCGGGCUCAACCUGGGAAUUGCAUUUGAGACUGCAUAGCUAGGGUGCGGAAGAGGGAAGCGGAAUUUCCGGUGUAGCGGUGAAAUGCGUAGAUAUCGGAAGGAACAUCAGUGGCGAAAGCGGCUUCCUGGUCCAGCACCGACGUUCAGGCACGAAAGCGUGGGGAGCAAACAGG